UAAUGUUGAGAGACGAGGGGUAAUGGAGACUACAGAGCAGCAGGCUCUUCCAAGCUGAGGUGGAAGCUUUUGCAAAUCCCUGAACGAAGAGAAAGCUUGGUCAGAUUAGGCAAUGAUUAACACCACAAAGGUACAACAAAAUGGAGCUGCCAAGGUUGACAAGACAGAAGGCCGAAGAAGUCAGCAGAAGCGGCAUCUUAAGACAAUCAUUGUCGCAGUAAUUUAGCGUGCACCUGCAUCACCUGGAGGGCUUCUUGAAACCCAGAGCCCUGGGGCCAACCCCCAGGGUUUCUGAUUUAAUGCAUCUGGGGUGGGGCAUGAGCAUUAGGCUACAAGGUUCCAGGAGAUGCUGAUGCUGUUGGUUCCCCGGACUUUGAAAAUCACUGUUUUCAGAUCUUCGUCGUCCUCAAUGCCUUGGAUAAUGGAAAGAAAUGGAAGGCUUCUGGAGAGCUUGCGACCCGUAACUGAUUAAGAGUCCACGGCAGAAGAGACUGAUAGAACUGGAGCAGAGGUGAAGGUGUCUGGGUUUGAGGAGGCCAGAGAACCAUGGAGCAGGACACACGGAAAAAAAUGUUACCCAACCAUCUAUCACCACCGCUGACUCAGGAAAAGAACAGGCUACACGGUGGAUAGGAUCGCGGCACCAGACCGAUGCUGUCCUUGGAGCUUCACCCUGUGGAAUAGUUUAUGGGAAUGCCUUGUGUAAGGAGAUCUUUCAGAACUCUCUCGGAUUAUAUCCCACAGAGACCUACUUACACAGUGCCAAAUUGUUCUCUACAGAGAAUAGUCUGGUGGUCAAGUCCAUUUAAAUUUAAAUGGCUUACUGCAUUAUAACCCUAGACAAUGAGGGAAGUUACAUAGGCUCCUAAGUUAAAGCAAGGCCCCUGGAUGGCACCAUUUUAUUAAAACCAUGUACAGCUGCAGAUAAAUGGAGUUAACUGCACAGGCAAGAAGUCAUAAAUUGGUGCUGUAUAAUCUGAAAAACUAUAGAAAGGAAGCUAAGCUACUUUCCCAGAAGAGAUGAAAAGAAAGAAGGUCAGAAUGUCCCCCUCAGUUGCCUGGAAUACCAAAGUUCCCCAAGUGCCUGAACAUUCCAUGAAAGAAAAAUGCAGUUUAUAUCUAUGCCUCGAUCAACCAUGCCUGAGUAAAUUGCUUAUCAGUAAACUGUAGGCAACUCACAACAUGGGGAGGAGCAUCAACCAAGGAGAAGGAGUGCAUUUGGCACUCGAGAUGGGAAUGCAUCCAGGAAACGUUGGGUGGAGUUGGCUGGGAGUAACCGCCACAUAGUGGCUACCCAUGGUGAGGGAAUACCCAAGACGCUUAGGGUUCACAAAGAUUCUGGCUCCUGUGGUUUCUUUGUGAGUUGACUGCUAUGCCCUAAACCAUCAAUAAGUAAACAGCGUUCACCACAAAGCUUGUUUGUCCAGUGUCCAGCUAAGUCAAAGGAAUUAUAAGACCCCAACCACACAUAACCUACUUCAAACCUCGAAUGACUUGGAGUUCAAGGUCAAGGGAUCCACGCCACUGAUUGCCCCGCACCAUAGGGAAGGGUACUAGGCAAUAGUUGCUGUCUGCCAUGUUGCUGAGAACGUUUUUUUAGAAGAGAUUCUUCUAAAGCCAAACGUUCUAUGAGAAGCAGGCCAAGGGUAGAACCUUUGGGAGGCAUGCUGAAUAUAGCACAGAUGUCACCAGGGAUCCAAGAGCUCGGUGCAGCUGUUCAGCUUCCAUAGACACGAGUCCCCUUGGAUAUUUCUGGGCCGGCAUUAGUACCCACGUUCCGUGUGUUCCCUUAUGUCAUUGGGCUGACGUUCUUCCUGCCCUUUCUGAGAAAGUGACUGACCUGAGAGCGUGGGGCAGAAGUUCCAAAGAGCUCCGUGCCAUGCUAUCUCCUUAGAUACUUACAGUUUGUCUUCAGACGUGCACAGAACUACACAGCAACAGUGGAUCACAGUUGACCCCAGGAAAGGAAAUUACUAGACUAGGCUAAGCCUGGCCCCUUAACUCCAGUUCCAGAAAUCCAGUGGAUGACAUUAGCAUUUCUAAACCUAGAAUCGUCCUUGGGCUACUGGGAUGAAAUAGUAUGGUUGGAAAGAGUGUUAAACUGGAAUCGGACGACUUGAUUUCCUAUUUUUGCCCCUAAUUCCGUGACCUUGGCAGGUCAUGUAAACACCCUGAGCCUUCGUUCUUACAAUCUUUAAAAACGGAAGCAGGGCUGUCCCGGAUGGUGUCCGCUGUCUCCUCUAACCUCCCUCUCCAUCUUUCUCCAUCCCGCCUUCUGUCCUGGGAGGCUGGCUUGUAGGAAUUCCAUGAGUCUCUUUUGCCCUCUACCUUCUGUUUGGGGCCCUACAGUCACAGGAGGUGAUUAGAAGGAAGGAGAGUGAGAUUGGGUAUCUACCCCCUUCUCUUUCCUGCAGGGUCUCCCAAAGGACCCUUCUCUCUUGGGGCAGCCCUCUGUCCAGUCUUCUUCUCCCAGCUGCUGGUAACUUCUUCCUCAGCUGGCCCGCCGGUCUGCUGGGGUAACCAUGCCACGGUCACUAACCCUGGGGGAUCCCACCAUCCUAGCAAGCACAGGCUUGUUAGCACUGCCUAUGCUUUUUUAAAUGCCUUCAUUAAGUUUAACCCCCCUGCAAGCAGCCGAAUUUGAGAGUGCAAACUGUUUCCUGCCGGGGCCAUGACUAACACCAGUGAGCUAGAUCAGAGGCAUCUGAAUAUCACGGAGCCUUUCUGAGGUUUGAUUUGCGUUUUGACCUGAAUUUUACGGAUGCCAACUAAACCCGAGAGAAGACUGAAACCAGCUUCCGGAGCCCCAGUUAUGAGGCUCUGGAUUUUUCAAAACACCUUAGCUGUUCUCAGUGAUUGAUGCUAAAACAGGUCGACAGAAGACAUUUCAACUUCAAUGGAUAUCUUAUUAGCAAAAUUCUACUUUAUUUGCUUUAUAUGUCAGUGUCCUAUAAAAUUUUAUUCAAGAAGAAAAGAGGCUCUACUGCUCUAAAAUGUUUGAGAACCACUGGUAGAUGGCUUCUAGGUGCCUUCCAAGAUUCUAAGACUACGAAUAUCACACUUGGAGGAGUUGAGCAAGACCAAGCUUCUGGGCAAUGAACCAAGGUGACAGUCACUAGAGGCAAAAGUGUAGAGUGAACUUGACAGACUGUUUCCAUCCCUGCCCCGGCUGACGGCCACUGGAGGCCCGACACCCUGCAAAGCUGAGAGAAUCCAAUAAGUGCAAUAGGAUGCCCCUCAUUCCCUCCACUGAAGCAGUCCAUUCCUUUGCUCAUCAAGAUCUCCUAGUAAUAACAGAGCACCUACUCAUAGCCACCUAACAUUUCUUAACCUACUAUGUGUCAGGCUCUGUACUUAGACCUUCAUACUUGCUGGCGACCCAAUUACCUUAUCCAGCAGGAAAGUCCAAUCCCUAUCCCUCCCUCCACCAAAGCACCACCCCUACCAGAGCCCCCCCAACACCUCCUCCAGGAAUCUCUGGGUGCUCACUAGUGGGGGGAGGGGCUUUCCGCCAGUCCUGCCUGCUCCCAUGUCCUCCUGCUGAAACUCAGUCAAAGGUACUUCACCCCAAGCUAGACAGGGCCCUCUCUCAGGCUAUUCCUCUGAGCUCCUUCCUCUAAGGUCCAACUCUGCCCUCAGGAGGGCUGGGUGAAGACACUUAGAAUGCAGGACAGCCCCCUCAGAGACCAAGGGACACGUGGACCCUAUGCUCUUCACUAACUCAAGGCUUCAGGCAAGGCCCACCAGCCACCUACCUGGGCCACACUCUUUUCUACCCUGUUGGUAACUUUCUGGGAGAGUGUUCUGAAUUUCAGUCCUUGGGGACAAGGGUUUAGGGUUUUGGUCCCUAAGGUCCAGUGCUCUUUAUGCAAGUUGUUAAAGGUGCAUCCAGCUCUCUGCUUUCCAAAGGGGUAGGGGAUGGGGGGAAGCCAGUGGAAUGAUCCCAACCCUGCCCCCCACUCUCGGUAGUAGGUCAAGUCUCCUCCAAAGUGAUGUUUGCUGGCCAAGGGUUUAGGGCCUGAAUCACUAAGCAUUGCCAACUAUACACAUCCUGUUGACUCAUCGCUAUCAUCCCCGUGCUACAGCUGAGGAAGCAGAAGCCCAGGGAAGGGGUGGGCCUGCCCAAGAUCACCCAGUGAGGUCAGCUGAGUUCCAAAACUGAAGUCUGGGCCACAAGGAGGUUCCAUACUCUAGGCAACUCUCCUUUGUCCCUUCAGCUUGGCUGCAAUAAUUGAGUAACAGUGAUGAUUGAGCCUCUGAGGCUGCACUAUGGGGGGGGCCCUGGCCCGACACCCAGGAAAAAGGCUUAUCUGCCUCUUCUGCUUCUAGGGCAAAAGAAAAUGCAAACAAUUACUCCUACUUCUAAUUUCUAUCGUGAGCAGAAAUCUCUCGAAUAAAUCCUAGUGCUCUGACUUUAAAUUAAUCUCGUUAUUGUCAGGAUACCAGACUCUAAAAUAGAGCACUUAGGGAGCCAGGGGUAAUUUUAGAAUCACAGUGAAUUACAGAGCAAACAGAGGCUCAAAGUCAGAGUAAGGCAAAUGUCUCUGAUGAAUGAGUUAGCAAAAAAAUUUGUUCCACUUCAGUUCAAACCCCUGAAGUCAGACUACGCCGUUUUUAGAAUAUGCAGAGGUUCUGCUAGGUUCAGCUCAAGUUCAGUGGUGUAAAAGAAGACGCACACUCCAUUGUCGUUGCAGUACGGAGAAGGAGCUCGGGCUUUGGAGGCAAGAAAAGGACUGCAAUCCCACUGCUGCCUUGGGCAUAUGACUUAACUUCUCCAAGGCUCAGAAUCUCAUCCAUAUAAUAGAGACAACAGUACCAACUUUGCAUGAAGAGCCAAAGAGGUAAUAAAUGCCCAGCCUCAGACUAAUCCUGCCACAUUGAAUAAACUUUCAAUAUUUAAAUGAA